UACAGAGGGUGCGAGCGUUGUUCGGAAUUACUGGGCGUAAAGCGCGCGCAGGCGGCCCUUUAAGUCUACCCGUGAAAUGCCGGAGCUCAACUCCGUGCACGCCGGGGGGAUACUGGAGGGCUGGAGACAGGUAGAGGCAGGCGGAAUUCCGGGUGUAGCGGUGGAAUGCGUAGAGAUCCGGAAGAACACCAGAGGCGAAGGCGGCCUGCUGGGCCUUGUCUGACGCUGAGGCGCGAAAGCGUGGGGAGCGAACAGG
rnacentral:rRNA from 1 species